AAGUCGUAACAAGGUCUCCGUAGGUGAACCUGCGGAGGGAUCAUUACCAGAGUGAGGGCCGCUCCGGCGCCCGACCUCCCAACCCUUUGUCUGACCAAAACCUCUGUUGCCUCGGGGGCGACCCGGACGCCUCGGCGCCCGGGGCCCUCGGUGGACCCAACCAAAACACUGCAUCUAUGCGUCCGAGUCAAACGAAAAAAUCAAAACAAAA
rnacentral:misc_RNA from 1 species